AUUGAACGCUGGCGGCAGGCCUAACACAUGCAAGUCGAACGAGAGGCGGACGGGUGAGUAAUGUCUGGGAAACUGCCUGAUGGAGGGGGAUAACUACUGGAAACGGUAGCUAAUACCGCAUACCAUCGGAUGUGCCCAGAUGGGAUUAGCGAGUAGGUGGGGUAACGGCUCACCUAGGCGACGAUCCCUAGCGGGUCUGAGAGGAUGACCAGCAAACCUGGAACCGAGACACGGGCCAGACGCCUACGGGAGGCAGCAGUGGGGAAUAUUGCACAAUGGGCGCAAGCCUGAUGCAGCCAUGCCGCGUGUAUGAAGAAGGCCUUCGGGUUGUAAAGUACUUUCAGCGAGGAUGCGUUACUCGCAGAAGAAGCAUCGGCUAACUCCGUGCCAGCAGCCGCGGUAAUUC
rnacentral:rRNA from 1 species